AUGAUAUGUAGAUGUGGCAGCCUCUUAUCUGGGUGUUCCAUUGAAGAAGCAGGAGGAGGAACUGGGACAAUGAAGCCUUUCCCUGCUUCCCUCAAGAAGCUUGCCAUUUCAUCAGAGUCAAGCAUACAGUCAAUGGCUCUGCUCUCGAACCUCACGUCUCUCACCCAUCUGACACUGCAAGAUUGUGUCAAGUUAACAUUGGAUGGAUUCAAUCCUCUCAUCACAGUCAAUCUCAAGGUAUUGGUGGUAUUUAACUGCAGAUGGGACAGAAGUUGUCCCGAAUCUGUAGCAGCGGAUCUGCUGUCCGAGGUGGCAAGUAGCACAGCAAUGCCUGCACGUUCCUUCCGAUUGGAACAGCUCAAGGUGGACAGCAUCUCGGCAGUGCUUGUCGCUCCCAUCUGCAACCUCGUCGCUUCUACCCUCCACACCUUGAUAUUCUGCCAUGAUCACCGGGCCAAAAGCUUCACGGAAGAGCAAGAGAAGGUGCUUCAGCUCCUCACCUCCCUCCGACACCUCGGAUUUGAUGGUUGUGGGGCUCUGCAGUCCCUCCCGCGGGGUCUGAGUCGCAUUUCUUCUCUGGAGAACUUAGAGGUCCUUUGGUGUCCAGAAAUCCAAUCAUUACCCAAGGAGGGCUUCCCUGUUUCACUGCGAAACCUACGCAUAAGGCCUUGCAGCACCGAGGUUAAGGAGCAAAUUGAGAAACACAGAAGAACAAGCCCAGGUUUAUCUGUACGAUACGAGUAA
rnacentral:rRNA from 1 species